UACAGAGGGUGCGAGCGUUAAUCGGAAUUACUGGGCGUAAAGCGCACGUAGGCGGCUUGGUAUGUCGGGUGUGAAAUCCCCGGGCUCAACCUGGGAACUGCAUCCGAAACUGCCUUGCUAGAGUAUGGGAGAGGGAAGUGGAAUUUCCGGUGUAGAGGUGAAAUUCGUAGAUAUCGGGAGGAACACCAGUGGCGAAGGCGGCGACCUGGGCCAAUACUGACGCUGAGGUGCGAAAGCGUGGGGAGCAAACAGG
rnacentral:rRNA from 1 species